AACGAACGCUGGCGGCGCGCCUAAUACAUGCAAGUCGAGCGAGAAGACGUAGCAAUACGUUUGUAAAGCGGCGAACGGGUGAGGAAUACAUGGGUAACCUACCCUCGAGUGGGGAAUAACUAGACAAAAGGUUAGCUAAUACCGCGUACGCUCCUUGGACUUCGGUUCAGGGAGGAAAGCGAUACCGUGGGUAUCGCGCUCUUGGAUGGGCUCAUGUCCUAUCAGCUUGUUGUGAGGAACGCUCACCAAGCUUCGACGGUAGCUGGUCUGAGAGGACGAUCAGCCACACUGGCACUGCGACACGGGCCAGACUCCUACGGGAGCAGCAGUAAGGAAUAUUGCGCAAUGGGCGAAAGCCUGACGCAGCGACGCCGC
rnacentral:rRNA from 1 species